rnacentral:sRNA from 1 species
AAAAAUACCAAAAAAA